AUACGUAUGUCGCAAGCGUUAUCCGGAUUUAUUGGGCGUAAAGCGCGUCUAGGCGGCUUAGUAAGUCUGAUGUGAAAAUGCGGGGCUCAACCCCGUAUUGCGUUGGAAACUGCUAAACUAGAGUACUGGAGAGGUAGGCGGAACUACAAGUGUAGAGGUGAAAUUCGUAGAUAUUUGUAGGAAUGCCGAUGGGGAAGCCACCCUACUGGAAGGAUACUGACGCUAAAGCGCGAAAGCGAGGGUAGCAAACAGUAUUAGAUGCCCUGGUAGUCCACGCCGUAAACGAUGAUUACUAGGUGUUGGGGGUCGAACCUCAGCGCCCAAGCUAACGCGAUAAGUAAUCCGCCUUGGGAGUACGUACGCAAGUAUGAAACUCAAAUGAAUUGACGGGG
rnacentral:rRNA from 1 species